rnacentral:rRNA from 1 species
UCAGGACGAACGCUGGCGGCGUGCCUAACACAUGCAAGUCGAACGGAGUUAUUGUGGAAGUCCUUCGGGGCGGAAGCUUUAGCUUAGUGGCGAACGGGUGAGUAACGCGUGAGCAACCUGCCUUUCAGAGGGGGACAACAGUUGGAAACGACUGCUAAUACCGCAUAACGCAAUCGGACCGCAUGAUCUGAUUGCCAAAGAUUUAUCGCUGAAAGAUGGGCUCGCGUCUGAUUAGAUAGUUGGUGGGGUAACGGCCUACCAAGUCGACGAUCAGUAGCCGGACUGAGAGGUUGAACGGCCACAUUGGGACUGAGAUACGGCCCAGACUCCUACGGGAGGCAGCAGUGGGGAAUAUUGGGCAAAUGGGGGCAACCCUGACCCAGCAACGCCGCGUGAAGGAAGAAGGCUUUCGGGUUGUAAACUUCUUUUACCGAGGACGAAGAACGUGACGGUACUCGGAGAAAAAGCCACGGCUAACUACGUGCCAGCCGCCGC